UAAGGGUCCUCUACACUGCCCAUCUAAAUAAAAAUAAACACAAUAUUACAUUUUUAAAAUAUGUAUAAGGAGGGGCCUACAGCAUUCUCAUUUUCCUAAGGGGUCUACUUCCAUGUCUUUUUUGAUGUAUAAAAAUAAACAUUUUCAAAGGAAAUUUUGGUGCUUCUACCUUACCAGUACCUUAAAUAUACGCUUAGCUUGUUUUGGGGAAUCCAGACCUAAAUCUUUUGGACUCAUCCCAAAUGUCACCUUCUCAGGGGGACUUCUCUUAUCUGUCCUUUCUAAAGUGGCAUUCUUCCCUUCCUGAGACCCAUCUAUCACACCAUUCUGGUUUUCUCGUAUUUCAUAGAAAGCAUCAAAAUUUGUAAUUGUCAGGUAUAGUUUUUAGUUUACUAGCUUAUUGUUUGUCUUCUUUAUGAAGGAGGGUCCUGUCUGUCUUAUUUGUUGCUAUAACCUCCUCACCUAGUGCAAUGCCUGAUACAAAGUAAGUGAUAGUUCCUGAAUGAAUGAAUGAAUGAAUGUAGGCUCAUGGAUGGCAAGCAGCACAGAGUAGAUUAUAAUCCCAAGGCAGAUAGACUCAUUUGGGUUGUUACCUUGUAAGACACUUUCUUCAUGGGGUGGGAAGGGAGAAGUGAAUUCAUAGAAAGAGAGGACUGUUGUUGAAAGAGGGAGGGCCAUGGCCUCUGCAACCUGGUGAAGUCUCAGAGCUCAGGAUAUGGCAGAAAGAACAUGCUGUGAUGUUGCAUGGAUUCUGGGUGUGGUGAGAGCUGAUACUUACUUUUGGAUAGUCAUUUCCCUGUGUCUUCUCCAAACUUUCAGUAAAGUUUCUUAAACUCAACAGCUAAGUGUUUUGUUAUUUGGAAAAUUGAGGAAAGACCAUGUGUUCAUGCUCUGCUUUGGGGGCCAAGAUAAGCAAGAGAGAUUGGUGACAGCAUAGAGAAAUGGUGAUAAGAAAGCUAGAAGUGUUUGGGGGCAGCAACAACUAGAAUGGAUUUGUACAUUAGCAUCUAACUUUAGAAUUCCCAGAAUUAUUGUUAUUUGGAUAGUAGAGGAAAGAGUGACUCUUGGAUGGCUAAAGAAGUCGAGGUUAUUCUGGUUGCAAAAUUAAUAAGUUAUUUGGUAAUUAUGUGUUUAAUGUCUGUGUCCCAUGACACAGUAGACUUCCUCUGGAUAAUGAUUGUGUGUGAGUUGUUUACUACUAUGUUGCUGGGUUCCUGGCAUUGGGUGGGCACUCAAUAAAUAUUUGUUGAAUGAAUGAUUGGUUCUGGGUGUUUUUCUGUUUCUAGGUUAUAAGUCAGAAGGGUCUGCUGAAAUGUGAUGAGGAAAACUAGAAGAAAAGUCCAGGCCCUGAGAGUGAAUACCAGACAGAAGCUGGGGGUGGAAGAGUAUCAAUAUGCAAUAUGCAGACUGAUUUGCCGAGGAGGAUUCAGAUAGGAGAUUCAGACUCCCAGAACAACUAAAAGGAUAACAGGCACUGUCAAAGAUCUAGACAGAAGGGCCAGAAAAGCAGCAGUUGGAACACACAGAGGGACUGUUGAGUUCCUACUAAGAAAUCAGUAUCUGCUUAUUGAGCACCUAUUAUGUGCAAACACUGGGCUAUGAACUCAAGAAUUCUCCUUGACUUCAAGGAUUUUAUAAUCCAUGUUUGGGGACAAAUCACAAAAUAAUUAACAUUGAACAAGCCUGGACCCUGGGUACCUGGCUGAAGACUUUGGACUUUAACCUGGAGAUGAUGGAGAGUAUGCAGGAUAAAGUCCAUACCAAAUCCAACGCCUAGCAAAUGGAGAACAAGCCAAAACUAACAAGAUAAAAUGUAGCAGGAAAAAGUGCAAAGAGCUGAAGUGUGGAAUAAGUGGGAGAGGUCUGCCAUGCCCUAUCUGACCUUGCUGCCAUGAUCUUUAAGGCUGUGUGUCCUGGUUGGUGCAGCUACAAGAUGGCAGAAAUGCCUAAGUGAUGGUAUGGAACAGAGGAUCCCUCUUCUCACCAUUGUCUUGCAUGUUUCCUUGUGUGAACCACAAAUAAACUUUUGUUAUGUUAAGCUGC
rnacentral:lncRNA from 1 species